GUGGGAUUAAUAAAGGAUUAUCUUAUUUUAUCUUAUCUUAAAAAAGAAAAAAAAAACUCCUGGACGCCGAGGCGCAGGAAAACAACCUCUCAUCUGUCUCCUUCACCGAUGGCACAUCAAACGACCCUUCCAACCGUUCGUUUUAUCCACACUGUUUUGCUAAUACUGCAAACAUGACAAGCGAUAUUUAGUAAUCAGUAUUAAAAUAUGAUCAAAAUAGUCACUCAGUGUAGACUCAAACUGUAAUGAAGUUAUGUAGCUAGUUAAGUUACCUUAGUUAGCUAGCGUUAGCUUACUAGCGACGCUAAGCUUGCCUAAACACAGCUAACAGAGCUUGGCCUGCCGUAGAAAUUGUGAAGAGUAGUUAAUCUAGCUAGCUAGCAAAGACUGCUAGUUAACGUUACUCAUGACCAAUCAAAGGAGCUUAUUUUAGCGCAAAAAAAAAAAAAAACAACAACAAAAAAAAAAACACCUGGACGCCACCAGACGAAGCAACCGAAGUUGCUAAACGCCAAAUAACUAGCUAGCUAGGUUAAGAAAGCGUCCCUGUUGGAUUAUGGAACGACGUGCUCAGUCGGUAAGUUUAUUCCUAUUUUUGGUAACGUUAAUACUAAUGUAAACAUCAUUAACAUUAACCUAACGCUAUGUCUUAAUUUUCGUAAUAGUGUUGCCAUGAAGGUAAUGGUAGAUGGUGACUGCACGCUAGCUGGCGAGUUAUUUAGUUAGCUUAUUAGCUAAUGCGUUUGCAUGGAAACAUUUUGAUAACAUUAACUGUAAAAAUCCAAUAUGAUGGUUUUCACGUUCAGCUCUAAACAAUAUCCAGGAUUGGUGUAGUCAUGUUUCUGGAAUUAUCAGUGACAAGUUGGUGGCGCUAGCCCCCAACACAAUUUUUACAUUCGGAAUUGGAUAUAGUUAAUUUAAUGUUAGCUAGAAAAGAAAUGGAUAUGUACUUUAUUUUGUAUGUCCGCUAUAACCUAGGAGUGAUUAGGUAAACUAUAUUGCUAUAGUAUGCAAAAAUCUGUAUCAUCUGGGCUAGUAUUAAUUAACCUACUUUACUUUGUUUUAGGAACUGUUCCUCGGCCAUUUAUUGGAAAGGCUCCAUACUCGACUUCUGAGUUGGCUUGACCGUGUUCCUCUUGAUAUAGAUUACUUAGAAUUUGUGUGUUCACAGGAGCUGGUACUCCUUAGUUCAGUCUCAGCUGAAGUAGAUGUUCCUCAAGAUGUUUAUAAUGCACUUGUGCCAGCCCCAAAGUCACUGAUGCACAUCGAUACAAAUCACAAGUUGAUAAGGUACAACAUGGUGAUCUUUGGAGGCAUAGAUGGCUUCUCCAGGAAGGGUGUGGGGCGAUCAUGGAGCAGAGAACGUUGAUGUGGCUCGUGUUAUCCGUUCGGGGAACAGGAAGGAGUAGCUUCAUUGCAGGCAAAAGCGUCCAUAAUCAAAGCAGUCGCCAGCCACUUCUACAACGUCCUGCAUCAGCUUGAGGAUGAGGGUCAUCUUGAUCUGUCCAACAGCCUGCACAUCUUUUGCUGCCACUAUGCCUUCAUUCCAUGCCUGCAAGCCCACCUUGACAUAUUCAGAGAUGGCUGGGAUAAUCAUUCUAUUUGCACAGAGGGCAACCUCUCUCCCAAUCAGCUGUGGCACCAUGGACAACAAUAUCACUCUCAAGAGUCUGAUGAAAAUCUGAACAUUCCACAAAUAGACUGGGAAAGCAGUGGACUUCUGCCCAGUGAUUCCAACUCUGGCAUCCAGGUCCCUGAAAUAGAAUGCCCACUGACAGCUCAUGAAUUUGCUGGACUAAAGUCUACUGUAGAGCCAAUAAGAGAGUCAACAAGUUUUGGUGCUGAUAUUUAUUUAGCAGCACUGCAGUACAUGCAAAACAUUGGUUACAAUUACUAAAAAAAAACCUCAACUUGUCUAAAGAGCUAUUAAAGGCUGAAUAGUUUUCCUAAAACAUCUACAAGGCUUAAAACAUCUAAAACAUUUUAAACUUGGACAAUGAAAAGGUUUCAGAUGACCCAACAUGUUUAACAUGAAUUGACAAAAAAAAAGUCUUUGUAAGUAAAAUAAAAGGUUGCAUGUUUAAA